UUCUUCUUCUUUAAAGCUUUUGUACUUAUCUUGCGUUGUCCAGAUCAUUGCAAGAGCCCUAAUUGUAUAAUUAAACAGCCAUCCCAAUCGCCUAGCAGCGCGGCUCGGUGUAGUACCAGCACCCAACACCGUAUAGCAGUUGGCGCCCGCGUAGCCCAUUCCAAUAAGCAUUUCCCAUUAGCUGGCGGAGAAAACUCUAAAUCCUAAUUCCCCUAAUUUCCCCUUCUGCUUUGCCAUCGUCGUUCGGCGCUUCCCUUUCGCACGUCGCCUCUUGUGCAGCCCUUGCUACGGUGGAGGGGAAGAAAUCCUUCAUUUUAUUUCGAUCCCAACCCCGUAACACGCUUACACGCUCGCCUUGCUCGCGCCAGCCGUACCCGUGGUGGCCCGGUAGUGGUGUUGGGUUUGUUGCUGGGUAUGGGUAGCGUGGAACAGCUUCGUCUAGCCGGAUCGGAUCGGUUCGUGCUGGAAUUUAGCAGUGAAUGUAUUUGUUUUGUGACGAUUGUGCCGAGGAAGACAAAAUUAUGCAACAUAAAGUGUGUGUGCUCGCAUCGUACUGCGUCAAUUCCAUUUCUCAGCAGCAGCAGCAGCAACACCAUGCUCCCUGUUCGUUACGACGCCGGUGGCCCGUUCGGGGAUGAGCCAUGAACUUUAAACUGAGACACGGACUCCCGGAUUCAGCGCACAGAAUAAAAUCAAGCACACCGUGUUUUUUUUUUUUUGCUUCAGCAGUCUACCUAAGGGCAAAGGGGUCGCCCGGGCCACUAGGUUCGAUUGGAAAUAUUGACAGAGAAAGGGGUUAAUAUGUUCAUCCCGGGGUGCUAAACUUCGCCAGUGCAAAGACACACGCACACACACACACACUCGCCUGCUGGCCACCACGGUGGUAAGGUAAUCCGUGCGAUUUUGGCCCUUCGCCGGCUUUGGCGCGUCGCAUCUUGCAGUUCGUUUGCCGUUCGAAACAUUGUCACGAUUUUUUUUUUUUGUUAACUUUUUACUCCCCUCGAUUCCUACCGUGGGUCCGGGAAAAAUGACUUGUCAUGGUUUUGUAACGGUGUGUUUCGAUUUUGAUAGGAAUUGUAUAUCGAUCCUUUUCUGUUUUUCAUUGCGCUUGUUCUUGGGGUGCGCGAGUUCCUUUUUUUGUUUUUCUGUUUCGGUGGCACACAUCGCAACGCUACUUUCCCACAUUUGCAGCAGUGAUUGACCGAAGCUUCACACUCUUUGCUCGACGAGCAGGGACAGCGAGGAGUGUAAAAUUUUUAUUUAUUAGUCCAUCGCUACCGUUACAUCAUCGUGGACGCUGCAAACUUAUACUUUUAAAAAGGAUGAGUGUAGCGUGUUUUUUUUUCUUUUUUGAUUCCACUACCAGUCCAUUUUAUACCUGUGCUCGGGGAUGAGAUGUUUCCCUUGCUAUAUUUUGCUUCGUGAAGGGUUUAAAAUAGCAAAAAAAAAACGGAUCGCAAUGCAUUGAUUUAUGCUUGAGGAUGGAUGAAUUUUUGCAAACUUUUGCACAUACGCACUUCCCUUAAUAAAGGGUUGAAGUGGUGUAGGGAAUUACGGGCACACACACAUACAAAUCCGGUGCUUUGGAUUGAAGCCGGGAUUUGAGGAGUAAAGUCAAAACUAUUCGUUUUUUUGGAAAAGAAUUCGCAGAGAGCAGUUUCAUUGGCAAAACGGUAAGUUUUGGAAUAGAUAAAAGGGAUGGCAUUUUUGUUAAAUCAGACUAAUAACAGUGCUAUAAAUCAGCACUCAGAGAUUUUUGUUUUUUUUUUCAGGAGGAACCGUUUGAAUAAAUACAAUAGAUGUAAAAUAUAUAUAUUUUUUUCUGAAAUAUUUACUACAAUUAUAAAGUAUGUCGUUCGAUUACGGAUAGAUGAGUUAUAAGUACAACCUCAUUACUAAGUAAAGUCUUAUGUCUAUAUCUUACAUUCAAAAUAGAGCUCAAUAUUGCAAUAUAGAUUUUAGCCAAUAGAUUUUAGAUAAUUCCGUGUCUAUUUUUAAUAUAAAUAUACUUUUUUUCAAUUUUCUAUGCUCACUGUUCAUCUGUUCAACUGUAUAACUGUUCUACAGUGCAUGUUCUGUCAUCGUUAUUCUUCUUCAUUGGCACACAACACAACCAACCGUUGUCGGUCAAGGCCUGCCUGUACCCACUAGUGAAGUGAGCUUGUCUAUCACUGACUUAUUGUUAUCAUAGCAGGAUAGUCUGUCCUACGUAUGGGGGCACGGUCUAUUCGGGGCUUGAACCCAUGACGGGCAUGUUGUUAAGUCGUACGAGUUGACGACUGUACCACCAGACCGGCCCUAUCCAUCGUCGUUAUUAUCCUUAAUUAAAAUAUGUCAUAUGAAUUGGAAUCAUUAAGUGACACUGAUUAAGUUUAUCCAUAUUUUCAAAAACUAAACUGAAAGAUUUAACAGGCGUUCCACCAUUCAAAAAAUCUUUCCUCUUUGGAAUAAUCCUGGUUUUUAAUGAUUUGUUGUGAUAUUUUUUAUGUCUACUACUUAUUCGACUACAUGUCGUAUAAAUUAUUCAUCUAAAAAUGCAUUGUUUUAGGCGUUCUAAAAACUAGUCAAACUCAGCGCUUGGGUAAAUACAACAAUUUUAUAAAAUUACCCUCUCUUUAUGGUUUUAUAGCUGACUUACUCAAUAAAACCCUAAAGAUCUUUUGAUGUGAAUGGAUUUUAAACACAGAAUAUAAGAUUAACUCGAAAAUUUAUCUCUUUGAAUGUUUAACCUCAUUGAAAAAUUUUAAUCAGCAAUAUUCUAAAAACAAAGAACUUGGGCUGACAUGGUCUACGAGCAGGAAGAGAUGAAAGAAAUGCUUUUAUGCACCAUUCGUGUAACUAAAUCCACGUAAAAAUUUUGAUGUCGCUUGAACAAAUCUAGCUAACCUAGUUUUCAUUACAAUUUGCAUCGGCAUGUAACAACUUUGAAGCAAUUUCAUUCAGCUACGAACAACAUUCGACUCAAUUAAUUGCCGACAAAACCAGGAGCACUAGCAAAUCCGUCCCGUAAUGAUGUGACUUACAACAAAGGCUCAGCAAACAUACAUCCUCAUCAUUCAGCCAUUGAUGGCAGCCAUUUUGAAAACAAACAACAUAACCCUCUACACACAAAAAAAAACGAGUGAUUCGAUACCACUGAAACACACACCACACAAACGGAGAGCAAAAAAAUAGGUAUUUCUUCCAACAAAACGAGCGAAUUUUACGCGACGUCUAAUGGCCACACCCGUCCCAAUUCACGCAAAACCCCAGUGUACGCCAGGCCGCUAUUCAUUUCAGCCUUUUGUUUCCCACCCUCCCGGCAGACCGACCGGAGGAGUACGCUCGCCAGAAAAGGGUAGUUUUUCCCGUCCAUUUAUUUUCCACCUUCCAAUCCAAUCCAACGUGGACGUAAUGCGACGCAUUUGGUUGGUCGGCGUCGGAGCACUGCACACCCUACUGCCCUCAAACGGUCAGCUCAACGACAACCGAACCCGAAUCCCCUGUACGUUUAAUGGCGUUUCUACCCGUUCGUACAGCAUUGGGGGUUUCCAAUUUUCCACGGAUGUCGUUUGGUAGUACGAACUAGCCACAAAGUUGAGAAUAAAAAUGAAGCAAAAAAUACACACACAUUCAAGCCACAAACUGCAAUAAACACAGCAAACGACAAAGGCAGGACACACGAUGGCGAUGCUGCCGGUGUGCCACAUAUGGUCAAAAUUGAGUUCCUUUUCCUUUCCACUUAUUUCCAUGGCUCUGGCACCCCAAAGCACCGCGUUACACCCUCGUUUUUUUCUGUAUCCGUUUCAAUCUCUGCUCGGUUUUGGCUGGAAAAAAUCCCUCCCCAUGGCCAUACACAGCUAAACGAGGGGGUUGAUCGUCAUCAUAAUUUUGUGUCAUAUUGGUGUUAUUUAUCAACAACAUCGUCCAGCUAUUGGCAAACAACAACCCUCACCCAGCUUGAUGUUUGCUCCAAAUGCCACCGAUUGGAUUGGGAGAAUGGGUGUCUAUGCCGGGUGCAUGUGAAGAACGGUGUUCAAGAUGGAUUUAUUUUGGCUCUUGCUAUCCUUCACAAGGCGCCACUGCGUGUGUGUGUAGGAUCUAUCUGUAGGAUCAAUUUCGGAAACCCUUGGCGAUGACCAAAUUUGCAUUGCGGUUCGCUGAAUAAAAACGGCAACCCACUUCUCGCCGUGUAACGGCGGUAAGGAAAUUUAAUUUCCUCAAGGAUUACCUCUACUUCAACCCCCACCACGCCCCACGCCACGUUACCCUUUUGCGAAACCCCAAUCGAAAAGGAGGUAAAAAAAUCCCCCAUUUUACGGACACUCCUUGGUGACGCGCGUGCAAAGGAUUAGCAACCGUACUGAACGCAUUGCUGUACGGUAUGGCCCAGAACUGACCGAACCCGAUGGCCCAGGGAGGAACGAGCGUGUAACAUCAACAACAAAAAAACACAUCCCAGUUACCUUCCGACGUUGGAAGCGAGCGGCAAGCAAUGCCCAAAUCCCUGCUCGAUUUGUCAUAAAACCGUAACCGAGCGGGCACACAAAGAAGUGAUCGAACGUCGUCGAAUUGCGUCUGCCGGAACGGGCGGGAGGGCAAAUCGACCUCUCUCGAUGGCUCCAUAAAACGCAAACAUCCACACGUGGGACCACGACCACGACCCACGAUGGUGGACCAGUUGGAUUGCCACCAUUGGCUAGCAAAUCGAAUUCCAAUUCCAAGGCCCACGUGCAUGGAUGCUGCUCCCUCCCGCCAAAUGGUACGCGAGACACGCGUUUCUAUGCAUAGCUUACGAGUCCCCGGGGGAAAUUCGUACACGGUGGUGACAUGUGGCAAUGUCCGUGGAAGGGUGGAGCAGGAGUGGUCUUCUUUCGGGGUAGCUGCAGUAUGAUUUCAGAACUUUUCAUGAGUUUUAUUUAUGAUACGGUAUUUCUUGUUACCAUGUCGUCGUUGUUGUCUCCCUGCCCAUUUUACAUCGGUUGUGUUGUGGAUGGGGUUCUUGCCAAUGCGGCUGACAGAGGGGGUCGUCCAAGUGUUAGAGUGAUGUGCUCUAAGAACGAAGAUGUGCUCCCGCAAGAUCAAGUGUAAAGGAUAUUUAUAUAGAGGACAUAAAACGAAUGAUAUUUGAAGACUUAUACAGAUUUUAUACAAAAUAAAUUAGUACAACUGAAUGAAACAACAUCCAAACAUUAACAAUGCCAUUGAAUAAGCGCCCACACGUCCUAAACAAGUGAAUACAUUACAACCAAAAAUACGUUAAAUUCCACCCAAAAAUACAGAACAAAACACAUGAGCAAUAUAAAAGAAAACGCCUCCAUAGACGGGCAAAAAUACCACCGUCUGGUUGGCCGUUCACCCCUUGGUCUAUGCUAACCCUCUCGACAACUGGCUAAUAAGCUAUGCCGAGUCUCCAUUCUACACAAAAAAAAACCAAAAUGCUCUAUACUCCACCGAACAGACGAGAAUCGAACCGACCAAGAUAAACAAUGCUUAGCGUACAGUCCGUAGAGGACGAAAGACCACACGUUUGGCAUCGAUCGCUAAUCGAAGUCGGCGACGACCUAUGACAGUGGCGACCAGGACUACCAACAGGAGCGAGAGAAUGAGAGCAGGAGAGCGGUCCGCUCCAGGAAUGUAGCGGAGCAAGGAUUUGCAAGGGAUUUAGGAAACGAUGGCAACUUCUAAGAACGUUAUAAGCUUUGUACUCCGUUUUUUGCUCCGUGCGGUUCCCGCAUCACCUCGCCUCGGAUGUCCGCCAACGGCAGCUCGCCAAACUCCUGCACCCGGUCGUCUCAUUUCAGUCCUCGAAAGGCAUCCCCAUGUCUUUUUUCCCGCCAUCUAGCGCAAGCUCCCUCUGCAUGCGCUGGGGCGGGAAGAAAAGAAUGGGCGGAAUUGUAGUUUGCUACCGUUGCUAGGGCAGUCUGUCCUUACCGCAGACACACAAACAGUGCGCAGAGCCAAGCCGGGACGGUGUAUAGGAAGCCAAUAUCCUUUCCAGUGGCCCCCUUGCACACCGUCACCUUCCACAAGCGCCGAAGCGACCGAAAGGAUAUAUUCGUUUGAUUGGAAUUGGCAUUCGGGUCUUUCGUUCUCUUUUUUAUAUGUUGCUUAUAACAUUGGGGAUUUGCCCAACCCUCGUCCAGCCUGGUCCAGUUUCGACCGCCCCCCGGUCGGCUCACAUACCGGGACCGUAAUCAUACGAGCACCAAACCAAACUUACCGAGCAAAAACGCGGUCCCGAGCUCUGAACGUCCUCGCGCCCAUCCUACCCCCGCAGGAAUGGACAGUGAAUGUAUAAAUAUAUAUCAAAAGAUAAGUACGUGGGAUUUAUUUUUAUUAUCCUUGGCGAAUCAUCUCCUCUCGGUUUGCUUUGCACUUUUUCUUCCAGCAUUUCCUUGCACGAGCCUUCGUCCCCGUCAUAUAUUUAGCACAGCACACAGUACCUCCCUCAGUGCGCUUCCGCGUUCGGUUGCGACCCUUUGCGUGUUGUUGGCCGGCUCAAGACCACCACCCCAAAAAUAAGCACUCAUAUGAGCACGUAUAAGACUUUCGGGAGUUUUGCAGGCUUUUUUUUGUUCUUCCAUCCUCCUUCUGCACCGAGAUUUGCGCCCGACUCUCGGGGAAGGUCUGUGUCGCUGUAGUUUGUUAUUUUCUGCUCAUCUCUCGAAGCUUAAAACUGGACCGGAAACGACGGCCGAGUCGGGCAAGGCUGACGCGGUUAAUGUGAUUCCCAAACGUGCCGACGUGAAACCACUGAUCCCACCUUCUCGGUAUCGAUGAGGAGAGGGGUGGAUGGGGGAGGGGGCCGUUCGGUGGCGCAGCAGAAUCGUAAUUUCCAAUAUCCUAUCAUGGUUCAUGGUCGAUCGAGUUUUGCCUUUACCUUGGAGCGUCCGCGGGUUUGGGUGUCCGUUGUGCGCCGUCGGUUUCGUUUGGCUAUUAUAUAUCCGCCCGGGAUUGGAUCGGAGUAUCAGGUGCCUUAGCAUCUCGGUGAUGUGUGAUACGGUACGGGGGGAUUAUGGUGGAAAAAGAAUGAGCCAACAAUGCUUUGAUGUUUUGUUGCUUUGGAUUGAGCGCUUUCGGAGGACUGUAAAGAAUACUUGUUUAUUUCGCCCAUCUAUUGGCAACAGUGGAGUAAUGGGGAAACCAUCUUAAGCUCUUCGUUUCGGAGUUACCAGGUCUUCAAUCUCUUCGCACAAAUCUUCCUUUCGCUUGACACUUCUUAACAAACUUCAAGGAUUCUUGCACCAAAAUACGCACAUAUUUUACACUCCUAAUUACCCUGCUUCCAGCAUCCUUCACCACUACCCAUCCACGCUAUUAACUCACUCGCUGACAAAUUGCACCCCAACAGCUCAUUACACCCGUUGAUCACCCGUUGCGAAUUCUGCCUGACCGAAAAAAAAGGUCAAACAGUCGCACCCUAUCCUCUGCAGCUCAUUCAUUAACCGUUACCGACAUCACAAUCGACGGUAUCGUAUUUGGUGUGAAAACAUCUACUUUUCACCCCAAAAAACCUAAAGCCAAAGCAUUGAUACUCCGGGCUGUCGGUGAAACGUGAGAAAACAACAAAAAAGCCACUUCCAUCGAGUGCAUCGGUCGGUGGUGCUUUGUUGCAAUGGUUCACGGUUUAGGUUGCCCUUUUUGUUUGGUGUUUGGGUAUUUGGUGCAAUCGAGAACCUGGGAGAACGGCAAAGGCAAUUACAGACGCAACAAUAUUUACACUAAGCGCAGACAAAACAUUCGAUUAGGAUUGGUGCAGUCGUUUUCCCCCAGUUGGCUUUUAGGUAUGUACUUCCACUGCCAUCGAUCCUUCGAUGCUGCCACUGGUGUUUGCUAUUUUUAUUAGGCAAUCUCAGGUUUUCAUUACCGCUCUUUCCCGGGGACAACCUAGUGGGAAAGUGUUUUCUAUUUUUUGUGGAAAAACAUGCUUUUUGGUACCAUUUUUUCCCCCUGUACCUCUCCCAUCGUUGAGGGGUGAACGAUUAAUUUUGUUGCUGCUUCGCUUCUUCCACUCUCUGAGCACCUCCCGCAGAGUGUUGAAGACCGCAACAGAUCAGCGUGUUAUCGGUGUGAAUCCGUUCCACGGGAGUGCCUGUUGACUUCCGGCGGCUUAUCGACGCACUAUAGAGGGCAUCACACAAUCGAAAUCAAGUGUCUGAUGAGGUUUUUUUCCUCUGUUGUUGUUGUUGUAAGCAGUCCUCCCAACGGGAUCCACUUCCAACUGAUCGUACGAUUUGAUCGUAAUCGGUGCGGCCGCUCGAAUUCGAGAACCAUUGCUGACGCAGAGAGCGAACCGUACCGGGAAGCAAAUGAAUUGUGCAAGGCUUUAUUUCCAGAAACCUUACGUCAUCCUAUCGUGUCCCGUUUUUUUUAAAAGGGUUGUCGAAGGGUUAACAAUUUUCCCAUGAAAAGUUAGAACCUUCGGAGCAGGAUCUUCUAUUCUUCUCAGGUACCUACUGGGAUGCGCCUCGCUACCUUAAAUUGAAACACAAAAGCCAGUGAAUUAUGAUGACGCCACGAUCGCCAACUGUGCAAGGUAUCCUUGCUCGUUGGGUGCGUUCUUUCUUUCAAAUAAUCACACACCACAUAAAGAAGCGAGCGGGAAAAAAACGGAUCGUUACGUCAGUAUAAUUACAAAGUUUUCUUUCGCCGGUCGAAGAAAAACCGUUUCGUCCUUCUACCUGCGCCCGGGAGUCGAACAAAUCCGACAAAACCGUUACUGUUCUUCAACGCGGGGCUGUACCGUGCACAUCCUUAACGCGUCCGUGUAAGGUCGUGUCCCGAAUGUUUGCCAGGUAAUGCAGCUGUGCUGUGUGAGCCUUCUUACGCUGUCCUGCGAGUUGCAGAUCACGGAAAGCGGAUGAUGUGUUUCGUGCUACAUCCGUUUUCCCACGGAACUUGGCACAACCCGUUAACCCCUUUCCCUAGCUGCAACCGAUCGGAGCUUUUGGGCAGAUUUCGAUUUCGGGCCACUGGUACGGUAUUGUGCAAUUUAUUUUGCACUUCAUCAAACCAACAUCCUAGAUAAUCCCGCGUGCGUCGAUGCCAAUCGGAGGGCCUUGUGUAGAGGCCGGAAUCUGGAACAAAAGUGAAAGCAUUCAUUGCUUGGUGUAACUGUAACUGGCAUAAUGUACGAGACACCCAGGACGCCAGACCUUUGCCACAAAAGGAGGAUUAGUUUUAAAUUUGAAUUACAAUCGAUACGCCACCCUAGUGUGUGUGUGUCACUGCCGACUGAUGCUACUCCGUUGGUUUGAAGGAUUUUUACCGAAACGCUGCGAUCUCGUUACCGCACUAGCCGGAAGAUUCUGUAAGCCAUCACAGCCACGUUGUGAGUUGGAAGGGCAUUGAUGCUCGAGUUUUCGCUCCAGAUAAUGUUGCCAUAUGUUUUAUUCAUUGCUAGAUAUUCACCUUAGUCUUGUUAUGGUGCAAUAGAUUGUUAUAUGGUCGAUAAGGUAAGAAUGUAAGGUUAAAGUUUAUCAACGAUAUAAUGGCAUUGAUCGAAGAUUGCAAGUGAAUAGAUCGAUGCAGAAAUACAAUAUGCUAAAAUUAAUGGUCUUAUGAAGUCUUUACUUAGAAGUUUCAUUCAAUUGUAUGUUUCAUUGUGAUAAAUCAACAUUAAAUUGUUUACUUGACGAAUGCAAUACAUCUAAGCUUUGUGGACAUUUCUUACACAGUUUUCUGACAACUUGAAAAAUCAUUUAAAACUAAUCCUUUGAGCUAUCUUUCAUUGUAACAAUCAAUUUUGAAUUUUGAAAAAAAAAUCAAUCUCGCUUUGUACCACUGAAAUCGCCAUUAAACCGUUGCCGAAUGCUUCUAACCAAUGCAGAUUGGAAAAAGAAAUACCUCUCCUAAAUUAAUCCGUUCCUGAUACCAUUUGGAAAAAUGCUUUCAGUUUGAGCAGCUUUCGCUAUUUCCAUGCGACGAAAAAAAAAACAUAACAAACCCACCGAAAGAUCAACGUUCACUCAACCGCUCUCGAAACGGCCCACCAAACGCACAUGCAGGACAGCCGAACAUCUGUCCCAUCGCACACACGUCCCAGCUCACGCCAGAUUCACUAUUUCGUUUGCGUAUGCAGCUUGUUAUGGUAAUUUCGCCCAACUGAGCCAAAAUUUCUGCACACACACACACGCACUCAUAAUGCAUCGACUGUUGCGCCAUCGUCAUCGGAAAGGGGUUCCCCGGGGUUGUUUAGGUACACUGAAAUUUAAAACCGUCGCUUUGAAAUCCUUACCUACCUGGCCGGCUAGGUCGUUCCCGGGCUACGGUUGGUCGCUUAACACCUUUUAGAAUCCCAUUUCCCGCGGGCGCUUCAUUUGGGACCGCAGCAGCGAGUCCCCGGACCGGCAUCCCAGGCACUCUGGCACACGCUUUUGGCGAGGCGAAAGUGCUUCCCGCGGCAACACCCGGUAAUUUAUAAAUAUUUCUUCGGCUGUGUGUAUUUUUUACGAUGAAUAAAUAUCCUAAUUCCGAUUCCGGGACCCUUUCGCUAUCAUCGGCCGUUUUGUCCCCUGUUCGCGAUAGAUCCCUUUGCGAAGGUCCCUAAAUUUAAAUGUUCGCCCGAUUAGAAUACGACCCAUAAGCGUUACACUCGGUAUCGUCUGCCAUCAAACCCUCCCGAGAGAUUGGAAGGGGAAAUAUGCAUCCUUUGCCAGGGCAUUGGCACCAGUGCUGCAGUGGUACGCGUACGUCCGCUAAAUUCUGACAUGUGUGCCUCGUGAAAGGUCCUGUUCCCGAGUUCAACGCAACGCCCGUUCGAUGGCGUCGGUUUUGUUCAGUCUAUUUUGCAUACAACCUUGGACAUUCGGUUGGACGCCGGAAGAAUGACCGGACACAUUUCGGUCAAGAAACCGUCAGAAUCCAAGCAGGACAAAACGUUAGUCUCAGACAACAACAACACCAAAAAAAACACGAACCCUUUCAUGCUUUUGCUCCUUGCCGAGACCUUCCACACAAAAGAUCCUCAACCUCAACCCUUCGACCUAUGGACCCGCUCCCCGGAUGAUGAGGUGUAAGAAAAAGGACGGUAAGAUACGGCUGAAGGUAAUUGCGUCAAAAGCAAAGCCGUCAUUCACCGUCAACGAUGGAAUGCCCCGGGAAGUAGGUAACGUGCUUUCGUGUUAGUGUCGUUGCGCCACUGGAAUGGGUAUGGCACGGGUCUGGGCAGAGGCCUUAGUCGUUCAGCAGCUAUGAUCGGUAGCAGGAUCGUCAGUUCGGUUCAGAAGCGUUCGUUUCGGAAGUUUGUGCGAAUUCAAGGCUCGUUUAGUUAAGUGAAAACAUGGUGAUUGAUGUUGUGACAUGUGGAUUUUAACAGCAAAUUAGUGUACAUUUUAAAUGACGAUUAUUAUUGAAUUUUUGAUUGAGUGAUUCGAACAGCAGCAACAUGUGAAGUGCCUUUUAGUUCCUAAUUUGAGUGUUAAAUCCUUCAAUACAAAAUCUUACAUUGAACGCUAUGUCAUCUAAUUAUCGUAUCAAUUCUUUUUGAAAACAUUUGGCUAGAUUUCUAAAACUAACCAAACUCUAAACAAUUACUGUGAAAAAAUACCUUAUUUGAUAUUUCAAUCGACCGAAGAUAUGCACAAACACCUUUAACAUGAUCGUACAACAACAUAGUGUCCUACAGCAGUUAAAGUGUUAAAUAAACAGAACAAGAAAUUCAGCACAAGCUUAUUCAAUUUAAAAGAGGCAACAGUGACUUUUAAAGUUUGAAAUAACAAACAUUUACCGACAAAUACCUAGAUUGUGCUGAGAUUGUGUGCCAAAGCUCAAUUUUUUUCUAUUCCAAUAAUUGAUAAAGAUGCUGAAGCGAACACAUAGUUAAUUAUCAGAACUUAAGACAUAAUAAAAAACAUAUUCUUUUAUAUAAAAAAAUAAUGAAAAGUAGCUCAAGUUUAACCACUCCAAUAUAAUAAAAUAGGUAAAAUAAUUAAUGAGAUAGUGCCAACACAAUUUAUUCAAACAUCAAUUGCUUAUAAAGUUUAUCUCAUGGCUCAUGUGCAAGUUAUAUUUUACACAUGCACCAUUAUCAUUUGUAGCUUUUAUCAUAUCAAAAUGUUACACUAAUUCAAUCGUGAUUUAGGUUAAUCGAUGUAAUAGAACGAUUUUUUCUUUUAUUUGAUAUUUCUCACGUUUCGCACACACUAAAACACUCCAAAUUCCUGUCAAAAUCUCUCCCCCAAUAAUUCGUUAAUAAAAGAAAUCAUCGAAAGCAUCAACAAAUCAGUGCAUUAGCUAUGUUUCCCUUACAUUCCGAAUCGCUUAGCACCGGCCAGCAUGUUCUGCACGCCAAACAUUUCACACCCCACGCGCCGGAAUGUCCAUUCUCGCACGAACCAUUGUAUUCCCGUUGGAUCGAAAUAUCACACAUUCUAAUCAUCAUGCCCUGGCCAGCAACCAUUCGCCAUCAUCGUCCACCAUUUUAUUAUUGGCGAUACUUUGCGCACGCAUGGGAGGUACGCAAGCGAAAGCGUUAACAUUGUCCGGCAGCGAAAGGGAGUGAGAGAGCACAAAGCACACACACACACACAGUAGCGUAGAGAGAGGAAAAAUGAGAAUAGUUUUUCCUCGACCGGACAUAAAGGGAAUGAAUGCACGUCCCACCUAUACACACACGCAAAGAGAUACCGAGUUGCAGCAGGAUGGGAUAGGGAAGGGAAAACGGUGGGAUGUCCGUUGCGCUGAAACAACGCUUCGGCGCUAACACCAGCCACUCAAAAAACGGCCAGCCCAACUCGAGCCACUCGAAGCCACCGGAGGGGUUUUAAGUGGGUUGGCUAGUUAUAAGUUUAUGCUGUUCUUCAACCAGUAGCCCUGGACAGUCCUUCGCAAACCCUUCCCCUCGCUAGCUCCCCCUCUUUCUCCGUCUGCCCCAAGCAAAUUCCUUGCAAAAUGUGUGAACGAUUUCCAUCUGACAUUCCGGGGGCGAAAAGGUCCAACACGAACCCAGCCACCCAACCACCGUCGCUACCCCACUUCCUCUCCCCCGCAAAGUGGUGGCGUGGAAAAGGGAUGAGCCGUAAAACCCUGCACUAGACGGAAAGGGGUAAAAAUGAUCGCUUUACGAUGCGAUACGACGAGUCAAGGGUUGUUUUCUCUUGCGUCCACUCUCCUGCUCUCCCAAACCCCGGCCGCGGCCCUUCCCAACACACUGGACUGUCCUUUUUUUACUAUCAACCAAUAGUCCGAAAAACCCUUCCGUAUCGCACUUCCCUUCGGACGUCCCUAUCUCCCUCCCUCGCACCUCAAUAGUGCGGACCUUCGUUAUGCAUUUAUUUUCUAAUAAAAUUGACUCGUUUUCUUGUUACAGAGCCCGUAAGCGCAGCGAGCGAGCAAGCGAGGGGUUUCUGCAAAGCGCAAAGAAGACACCCUUCUGCACGCGGUGAGUGAGUGAGUAAGUGAGGGAUGGAAAAUUCCGACCGUCAAAGACCUGGUCGGAAAAAGUGUUGCCUCCAGUUGCCAACGUUACGUGAAAGGGGAGGGAAAACAGAAGACCACGUGUGCUUGUGUGUGUGUGUGUGUGUGUGUGUGUGUGGGAGAGAGAGUUAGCUCAUAGCAGAACUACACGCGGAAGCAUCCUUCCGUUUCGGGGAUGGCGUUUUCGUAGGUAGUUUGCUGGGCGAACUGGACGAUAGAGAACCCUUUGCACAACCCAUCCACCCCCGGGGGCGAAGCCUACCGUGCAGAAUAUUCGUCCGACGGGACCGGCUGGGUGGGUGAGCGGGUUUGGUCCCUUUUUCCGGACGGACGAGGGUUUUUCGCAUUUCCCGAAUGGGUAACGCCGGUAUGGUUUGUUUAGAAAGGACAUUCCGGGCUGGGAAAAAAGGGAUUCGGUGGAUCCUGCACGUGCGUCUGUGUGUUGGUGUGUGUGUGUGUGUUUGUCCGAGAUGGUUUUAGUGUGUGCACAUUUGUGUGAAUGUGUCAAUAUUUGCCGGUAUGAGGUUAUAAAAUGGGCGUCCAGUCUGUGUGUGUGUGUGGCUGUGUAUUUAUUUGCGUGUGGGAAGGGGACUAAGGCAAAGGACAACCCUUGUAUACACAUACACACACGUGAGUGCAAAAAUGGUCGGCAUGUGCUAACAAGAUACUGGGAAUUUCUGGCCUCCCUGGAUACGAAAUGGAUGAAUAUUGAGAUUGUCUUCUAAAACCCCCUUUACCGACCCUUUUUUCCCCUCCGCACAGCAUACCUUCCUUACCCAAUCCUUUUUUUUCCUUUCCACUUGACCACAGUCUGGCACAGCAGGCCAAACAGGCAGUCCAUCGGAUCGGAGGAAAAAAGGCAAAUAAAAAGAAAAAGGGAUGAACCACCCCGCCCGACGGUUCGGGGCGGUUGUCAAGGCGAACCUGCCUUGGUCUUGGCGCGGUUGCUUCGAUUUUCAAAGUGAACAUUUUUCUUUCUUGAUAUGUUUUCUUUCUUCCUUCCCUUUCGCGGACUCUACAAUUCCUCGCCAUUACCCUUGCACGGGGAAAAGUUUUGUGCAGGGGUAAGGGAAGGAGGCCUGAUGCAAAGCGGCACGGAAAAACAACAAUUUUCCUCUCGCCCACUAGCACUAAACUUACUCCCAGCUUCCUGUCCAUUUCUCAACUUUCUAGUUGAAGGUCGAAGCGUCACUGGGGGGGGGAGUGGGGGGUGAGGGUGUAAAAAACAUUCGCAGGACAGCACAUAUUUUAUUUAAUAGAAAUAAAUAGACAAGGGUUCGCAUGCUUUUACUUUAUCGCUACCGUUCGUACGGGCGUUCUGAGCGUUUAUGCGUUUUAUGUUUUUUCUUCCCUUUGUGACCGGGGAAAUGGAUAGACGUCCAAGAAAUGUAUGAGGGACAGUAGGGAGACUUGCUCAACGUUUGUGUAUGUUCGUGUGUGUUGAAAUGUCCAUUUUCCUCCUCCUUUGAAUUCACACCACUGUGCCAAAAGGGGGCGCAGAAAAGGGAUCCGUUGUGACAUUUCUCAGCUGCUUUAGUAUGUAAAUUUAAUGUGCUAAUGAAGGCGUCCUUUAACUCGUUUACUGGCAGGCGGGACAGGAAGAAUCAAGCGCUCCCUUCUAGGUACCGGACGGAAAACGGAAGUAAAGAGCUUCCUCCUUCCCAUUAAAAAUUGUAUGCAACCGUUCGCACCGUAUUAAUCAAAAUAGUACCACUUUCCAACAGCCACCGAAGAGGUGAAUAGUUUCAAUCGGUACAUAAAACAUAAUCCACUUUGCAGCACACUUUCGGCUGCACUUUCUAGAGCAAAAUUUGAGCGGACGUAAAGCAUGCAACCGAGCUUACUAUGCAGUCGGGCGGAAGCCAACGGCCAUACACGAACAAUAAGCUGUACGAACCCAAGGCAUGGACCCGUUUUCCACCCCCGAGAGGCGAAGGAUUUGGCUCUUGUUUCUUUCCUCGAUGCAGGCUUCCGGUUUCCGGAGCCAUUAGUCGGGUUGGGGAUGGAGUUUGCUGGAAGAAGCUGUGUCUGCGCAUCGUUGCAAUGACCGUAAAGUAUUGAAAACACUUAUGCAAAAUUUACUACAAUUAUUAUAUGAUUAACAGAACCAAGCAUUUUAAUACCAAUAAAGUAGGAAACUUUGAAAAUACGGCUCUAAUUUUGAAUCAUUUACAAAACGACCACAGUGCUGUCUAUCCCAACCCGUACACCGAUUCCAAGUUUCAGGUGCAUCGAGCUGAAAGCUUCUCAGUUUCAGCUCCAGCUCCUUUCGUUGCUGCUUUUGUGUUGCAUGUCCAAAAACCCCCGAUUCCCGUUGGCCGCUUAUAAACCUUUCCGGCUUUUUCCCUCGCUGUUAAGGGGUUUCUUCUUUUUGUUGUACGGGGGAACAAUGGACCCCAGUCUUCCCUUUGCCUAACUUCGACCGCUCUCCCAAGCGCAUCUCUCCAAACAACGGCUCGUGUGCAUCGUUCCAGCUGAAUAUGAUGAAAAUCCCCGUCAGGUUCGGUGUGAUGGAAAACAUGGUGGAAUAGGUAGGAGAUGCAAAACGUUCCGUACCGUGUUCUUCCACCGAUCAGAUCCUGCAGAGUACCCACCGAAGCUGGGCGAAAUUGAAUUUGUUUUAUUAUAAAAUUAAAUCGGCUAGCCAACGCAUAUCAUUGCGUCGAUCAUCGCUUCUGGAAGGAUCGUCUCGCAAACCCCAUUAUCGAGAGUCAAUUUGGUAGAUGGUCCCUUGGAUGAAGCCCCCCCAUGGUUGGUUUCUGCGGUUAUGUAAGAAACCUCGUCUUGCUUCUCCGCCACAAGACCGCUACAGGACGCCCCUUCUCCCUCAGCACUACUACAAAAAGGCCAAUCUUGAGAUGUGGAAUCUUCUUCCAUCUUAAAACCUGGCCCAAUCGAUCGAAGUCCAACCGGUGCGGUGCUUGUUAGGAGAUGAAAACUCCCUCCUCUAUUCCUAAUUCCCAGAACGGACCAGCACUAGGUACACCGUCCUGUCCUUUUGCAAACAUUCACACAAACACACACACCACACACCACCACCAGCCUGAAGGGGUGGACGCCCGAAAGGGAAGAAUUCAUUAGGAAUUCUAAUCACCCUGGGUCAAGAUAACAAGCGUCCAUUUAUGGUAACUAUCAAGGCACACAAACAGAAGAUGACGAGGAGUGAGUGAGAGCAAAACUAACUCUCCCACUCGGUGUGUGGGAGAGUGGGUGGUGGGUGUAAAAGGAAACAUUCUAACUUCUUUCGCCUCUCCCCCGUACCGUACAAGCACACCACCACCAUACAACAGAAUAGAGAUACGUCCUCUGCCGCGUCCAUUCCGUGUAAAAGGGGCUAGGCAUUGGGUAUGCUAACGGAGCGGUCGUCCGUUUUGCUGGCUGGUAACUGUCCAAAACCGUUAUCAUGUGCUAUUUUUCAUCACCAUGCCAUACCAACUCCCUCCUGCCCGAGUGGAAUCAUUCGGAGAAACCUCACCUAAAACGCUACGAUCACGUACACGAGCCCCGGGAGCGAUGGAGUAAUUUCCAUUGCUAGCUACAAACGCCCGGCCAUCGCCUACCUCGGGUUCGGAUUGGUUUGGUUUUGGGAAUAAAAGAAGCAAAGUCGUCCGCUCCUGGCCCCGUAGCUUGGCAGACCCUUGGAUAGGAAGAUUAUUUAUAUUUUUCAAAACGAUAAAUAAUACUCCAACUUCGUUUGUGAGCGCUCCUCGGAGGGUGAAAAUCGUUUUAUGGCCAACAGUUUGAGCAGUUCUACGCCAAAAUUCUGGUGUAUGAGUUUUGCAUUGCUCGGACAUAGAAGUUAGAAUGUGAAGGUUUUUUUUUGCUUCUAGUUGGCAAGAGAAACGCGUCGUCCUUUGCUUUCGAAUUGGCAUAUUGAAGAAUUGAGCCAACGGUUUGCAGAGUCAAUUCCCCCGGUGGGCAUUAGUCUCCGCAUUUUACUAUUGUCGAGUCGUCUAUACAGUGACUCGCUAUGUUGAAGGUACUUUCAACUUUUUAUUCAAGUAUUAUAGUAAUGUUGUGGCCAUUUCUUGUGUGAGACUAAACAUGUUGAUACCUUUUUGCAGAUCAUCUUUCAUUGAAUUAGUUGCUAAAAAUAAAGAUUAUUAAUCUUUGAUUGUCAUAUUUUAACGAACAUGUUUGGUCAUUUAAGGUAAUAAUUCUGUUUCAAGAGUAAUAUGGACUACUACACGUCUGCGGUCGCAACACUCACGAUAAAAAGCGUCUAUAGGAUAUGAUGAAAAUUGUCCAUUGUCCAAAGUCUCUGGUCUCAUUUUAAUAUACGAGCAAUUUGUGGACACCAUCUUGUGGGCAAGAUGACAACUAUCAAUUCUGAAAGAUGUUUUAUACUUCUAUACCUUUUUAAGUUAUUAUCUACUCCACAUACACUAAUGAUAACUCAUUGAACUAUCCUCGAACUGUUUGUACCACUUCUUGGUGUUAUUCAUCCUCCUCAAACCAUCCCCAUCGCCCAAAUCACAAAGUGACCGAAACUGUCUCCCGAAAUCCAUCUUACCGCCAUCACUCUCCGGGAAAGCAGCUGGACCGCAUCGUCGGCUGACGUCACCCGCGUCGCUCUAGACAGCUAAUUGAAGCAUAGUAAACCAAACUACCCGUAACUUGCCCCGUCCAUUGUGCCGAACAAACGACUCUACCCCGGCACUCAUUGGCCUACAUCCGCGCUUGUGUGACUUAUUAAUAGUGCCCUAAUCCCAGUCCCGACCCGAGUGUGUAUUAAUUUUGGUUGCCCAAAACACCCCUUUCGCCUGCAUGGCCUAACCGCCUCCUGUCACUUUACUGGCAGCAAUCUUUCGAUUCAACUCUGUCCAACUUUAUACUCAACGGAACUGGCAGCAAAGGAAAAGAGUUCAAGAGCUCUGAGGACGAAAGAAACCGCUCCCCAUUCAUCAUGCUUUCAAACACGAAAUUGGCUAUUUUCCGUGGACCGGGUCCACUGCACGCAUGGUUGCCUCGGAGUCUUUCGCCCACACACGCGCCGUGAGUACGUUAAAACCCUCACCAUACCUACUAAGCGCCCUUUGGGUUAGCUAAUAAAUACGUUGAAAAAUCGAAAACUCUUCAUUCUGAUCCCUCCUCUCUCCCCGGGACCGACACACACACACAGACCAUCGGUCGUCUUAACAGCAAAGCCCCGAACCAAACAGGCCUGGCCAACAGGCUAGCUAGAAUUUAAAUAAUGUCACCUACUUAGCCCAUGACCAUAAGCAUUCUCAUAUCCUCCCCUAAGGUUCAGGUUCAGGUCGCCUCAAAGCCAAAGCCUCGUAUGUGCACACGUACGCCAGGACCGGACCCAGUCAGGCAGAAGAUUGUGUCCCCAUGGAAACGGCAGGCGGAUGAGAUGGCGGCGGGAACAACCGGUGACCGAAAUUUAAAUCAAAGACUUAAGAACUUUUCAUAUUUCUUCCGGGUGCCGGGCUCACCAGUGCCAUACUGCGAUGACGCCAUCCCAUGACCGGACGGACGGGGACCCGGGACACAUUCGGGAAUUCGCACGAGCCGUUUCGGACGAUUGAGAACGGACGGUGUCGGUUGAAGUUGAAUUGAAAAUGGUUCGUUGCGUUCAAAGGAGCUCUCUCACUCUCUCUCUCUUAAGGAAGGGAAAUGGGUACGGAGCGCAAGGGAAGUGAAAAUGGCACCCGGGAAUGGGCAUGCUAAUGUAGAGACGACUUUUGGUCAUUCGUUUUUCCGGGUGUCACUUAUGCACGUACGAGUUUUCUGGUGUGACCCAUCGGCCGGGCACCGGGGUAAAGAGAUCAAACUCGCAAACCCCUUCUUUCAUUUUUCUUCGUCCUUUCUUGCCACCCGACCAGUUGUCUUCGUGCGAAGGGAAGCAAAGAUGGAUAAAUCAAAGUGAUUAAAAUUCCUGCCAGCAAGAAAGUCGUCGGCAGAGGCUACAAUGGCACGGGGAAGGGUCCGAAGCGAGGGGUAUCUUAAAAUGAUGACCAACGCUUAAAAUCCCCCAACGAACGUCUUGGGAUAUGGGAAUUAAUUUCUGAGGUUAGGUCAACGAGCUCCCUGUUUCUGUCUCAUUUGCACACGGUCAACGAAGGUGAGUACGAUAAGGCUAGGUUAGGCGCCUGCUUUGUUUUACUACUGCUACCACCGUCGAUCGAUAUUCCUCUCAAUAGACACUGCGCUAUACCGCUACCACAAUAUGCUCGUACAUCUUUUCCUCCCCGGCAUUCUAGCGCACAGGGAUACUUUUUCGUUCGUUUGUGGCCAAAACGGCCUCCCACCUCCCCUGAGGCGAAACUACCGAGACGUCUUUUUGUGUGAGGAAGUGCCGGCCGAAUGUUUGCUUGCCGAGCGCCAUGGGCAGCCUCAGCCUUAUUCGACCCAUGUUUGUGUUAUCCUCAAACAAGCUUAACCUUCCUUCCAAAAAAGCCCUCGCCUCGGACGGAGAGGGUUUUUCCACUUUCGGACAGCGACCAUGUUGGUCCAUGUCUCUUUGGAGCACAUGCCACACAUAUACGAAACGUAGCGGUAGCUACCAUCCCCAACCCGAAAACGCUUUGUAUGUGUGUGUGUGUUUGUGUCUGUGUCCUGUGUAGCUCCUGGGGCGCUUUUGAAGAAACUUUUCAGCUAAAUGUGUUCCGAACCUUUCACUCCCCCUCCCCCACCCAACCCCAUGCGGGGGACGCCUUUCCUUGGACUUCAGACCGGUGGAAUGUUUUUCCUUGCCAUGCCGGUUCUACUCUACCAUGGCCAGCUCGACAGACGUUGGACAUCGGUUUUGGUCGAGUGGUCUGUUUGUUUUUCCAACCACCAGUACUCCCUCUCGCACUCCCCAGCACAAACCACAUUGCAGCAAUAGCCUUCCGGAGUAGCCUCCGGGUCCCUCUUCAAUCCCUGUGUCCUCUCCGGAUUCCGGGAAUUCGGGCCGCCUCUCUAUUUCUGUGUCUUUGAGUGUGUGUUUUUGGGACUGAAAACCCCCCACAUGGAAUGGUUUUUCACUGAAAGCCCUCCCUUUCCUCGACCAAGCACAGGACAACGGUUUGUUUUCUCAUUCUCGUUCUCAAGACCCUGUUGUGUGUGUGUGUGUGUUUUGCAGCAACGCACUGGUCUUGGGGCUUUGUUUAUUUCCUGUCCAAAUUAAAAUGAAAACCAAAACACCACCCACCUUCGAAACCCUUUUCGACACACGUUUGCGCUUUCCUUGGCCCGCUCGCCGUUUCGGUUUGUGAGCAGUUCCAGCUCAAACCCAAUCAUGUUUGCGCUUUCAAUUUGUACCAAUUCGAGCAAACUGCGCCAAACGGUACACAACACCCAGCGGCAACGGUGAAAACUGUCCUGCCGCGUUUCGAUGCAGGCAUAAUUUUAAUUUCAAACACCGCUUCCGAUUAAAUGAUCAUACCCUUUUCCGUUUCGCUUAUGUUGGGUGCUUGGGUCUUUCCGUUUUUUUUUUUUUUUU